rnacentral:rRNA from 1 species
UACAGAGGGUGCAAGCGUUAAUCGGAAUUACUGGGCGUAAAGGGCGCGUAGGUGGUUGAUUAAGUCAGAUGUGAAAACCCUGGGCUUAACUUAGGAAUUGCAUUUGAAACUGAUCGACUAGAGUUUGGGAGAGGGAAGUGGAAUUUCCGGUGUAGCGGUGAAAUGCGUAGAUAUCGGAAGGAACAUCAGUGGCGAAGGCGACUUCCUGGCCCGAUACUGACAUUGAGGCGCGAAAGCGUGGGGAGCAAACAGG